rnacentral:lncRNA from 1 species
UCCUAACAGUUUAGGAAUAAAGGGCCCAAAGGGUCCAAAAUUGAACUUUGUGUGAUUUCAUCAAAAAUUGAAUAAAUUGGGGUUCUUUGAUAUGCCGAAUCUAACUAUGUAUGUAGAUUCUUAACUUUUGGUCCCGUUUUCAAAUUGGUCUACAUUAAGGUCCAAAGGGUCCAAAAUUAAACUUAGUUUGAUUUUAACAAAAAUUGAAUCCUUGGGGUUCUUUGAUAUGCUGAAUUUAAAAAUGUACUUAGAUUUUUAAUUAUUGGCCUAGUUUUCAAGUUGGUCCAAAUGGGGGUCCUAAAAUUAAACUUUGUUUGAUUUCAUCAAAAAUUGAAUAAAUGGGUUCUUUGAUAUGCAAAAUCUAACUGUGUAUGUAGAUUCUUAAUUUUUGGUCCAGUUUUCAAAUUGGUCUACAUUAAGGUCCAAAGGGUCCAAAAUUAAACUAAGUUUGAUUUUAACAAAAAUUAAAUUCUUGGGCUUAUUUGAUAUGCUUUAUCUAAAUAUGUACUUUGAUUUUUGAUUAUGGGCCCAGUUUUCAAGUUGGUCCAAAUCAGGAUUCCAUAUGAAAUAUUGUGCAAUAGCAAGAAAUUUUCAAUUGCACAGUAUUGCACAAUAGCAAGAAAUAUCUAAUUGCACAAUAUUGUGCAAUAGCAAUUAAUUUUCAAUUGGAGUUAUCUUUCUUUGUAUAGAAUAGUAGUUGAUAAUAUAUGUUGGAAAUUUGCCAGACAUGACUAUGAUGUCAUUUUCUAUUUUUAUUUGCCAAUAACUUUAUGUAAAUGACUUCAUUGGAAAUUUGCCAAUAUAAAAUGUUGCUGAUGAAGCUUUUUUUCCUUAUCUUAUCUAAAAUGUUUUUAGAUAAUGUAUGUUGGACAUUUGCCAGACAUGACUAUGAUGUCAUUUUCUAUUUUUAUUUGCC